rnacentral:rRNA from 1 species
UACGUAGGGUCCGAGCGUUGUCCGGAGUUACUGGGCGUAAAGCGCGCGCAGGCGGCCCCGCGAGGUGUCACGUGAAAGCCCCGGGCUCAACUCGGGAGGGUCGUAGCAAACCGGCGGCUUGAGGCCGGUAGAGGUGGGUGGAACUCCUGGUGGAGUGGUGAAAUGCGUAGAGAUCAGGAAGAACACCCGUGGCGAAGGCGGCCCACUGGGC